GACGAACGCUGGCGGCGUGCUUAACACAUGCCAGUCGAACGGAAAGGCCCUGCUUUUGUGGGGUGCUCGAGUGGCGAACGGGUGAGUAACACGUGAGUAACCUGCCCUUGACUUUGGGAUAACUUCAGGAAACUGGGGCUAAUACCGGAUAGGAGCUCCUGCUGCAUGGUGGGGGUUGGAAAGUUUCGGCGGUUGGGGAUGGACUCGCGGCUUAUCAGCUUGUUGGUGGGGUAGUGGCUUACCAAGGCUUUGACGGGUAGCCGGCCUGAGAGGGUGACCGGCCACAUUGGGACUGAGGUACGGCCCAGACUCGUACGGGAGGCAGCAGUGGGGAAUAUUGCACAAUGGGCGGAAGCCUGAUGCAGCAGCGCCGCGUGCGGGAUGACGGCCUUCGGGUUGUAAACCGCUUUCGCCUGUGACGAAGCGUGAGUGACGGUAAUGGGUAAAGAAGCGCCGGCUAACUACGUG
rnacentral:rRNA from 1 species